ensembl:lncRNA
AACAAUUAGUAAUGAUAAUCAAUCAAUAAUUGAUUAUGUAAUUAUUAAAUUAAUAUAAUAUAAUGUGUUAUGUUGUAUAAAUAUAAUAAUAUGAUAGGAUAGGAUAGGAUAUAAUCAUUACAUUAUAAAUUCUGAUUAAUUGAAAAUAAUAAUUUAUUAAUGAUCAUUAAUUAUUAGAAUUCAUUAAUUAAUAUUAAUAUUUAAUUAACAUUAAAGGAUGGUUUUAGAAUAUAAAGAAAAGAAUGUUAGUCAAUGUGCCUUGUACCACUUACCAUAAACAUUAAUUAGGCUAUAGCAAAAUUGUAUAUACCUUUAGAAUUCCUCCCCUUCCAUUAGGUAUAAUGCUGAUUUUUCCCCCUCAAAUUUAAUCAACAUACAGGAGUAAAUUUGAACAUAUGAGAUACAUUGUGAAAGGAAAUAUUAUUCUUGUGUAUCUUGGGGUCGAACACUAAGAUAAAAAGAAUUUUUAAGGGGCGUAUCAAUUAAUGUCAAAAGACUGAUCAAGAAAACUAAUUUUUCUAAAUAAAAUUAAUACACCACUGUACUUUGAAAUUAUUUAUAUUUUGUUGCCCAUGCACUUAAAUUUUUUUUUAUUUUUUUCAAGUAAAGAUCGAAUAUUUUCUUGUUCAAGAAGCUUGUUGAUAGCUUUUAAUCUUCUCUGUGAAAAAAUGAUGCAAAGAAGAGUCCAGAACCUCGAUUUAUUUUCUUGUCAAAUAGACAAAGGUGACAACGAACUGGGGCUUUGUACUUGUAUCUUCUUUGAUCCAGCAGAUGAGGAUGGAAAGGAACCAGGGGUUUUUAUAACUGAAAUUAUUGAAGGAGGUGCAGUUCACAAACUUGGAUGUAUCCGUGUAUUUGACCAGAUUAUUAAAAUAGGUGACAUCAAUCUAAUUGGAUUGGAUGAAGCAGAAAUCAUCUCUACUUUUAAAAAAAUGGACGAUUCUCCUUUCCAGAUUGAAAUUGGCCGCGAACCACCUGAAGUGAAGUCAAAACUUAUCGAACUCCUCGAGUUGUCAGAGGAAAGGAAGAAAUAUUUUAUGGAUUCGCUCAUAGUACAGGAAAAAAUUAGAGAUAUCACUAUUGUGAGAGGACAAGCAAGUAUUUGUAGAAGUCCAAGAGUACCAUGGUACUGGAUGGCCAGUGACCUGAAAUUUGUUAUUGGGGCACUGAAAAUAUUAAUAGAAGAAGAUCAGGGAUGUAGAAAAAACAUCCAAGCUAUCUUUGAGCAGGCUAACAUUUUUCAAGACAAAUAUAAAGACAUGAACACAUACAAAGUGAAUAUGGAACAGAAACCUGAUGAAUCAAAUAAAGAAGGCACAUUUUUACCAUUGGCCCCAGAAGAAGAAUUAUUACUAGAACAAUUUAAAAUAAAACCUAAAGAGAUAAAAAAUGAAGAUUUAUCACCAGGGCAAUUAUUAGCCCAAGGGGAUUUCAAUUCAGAGACUCCAAUAAAAAAAGAAAAAGAAGAAGAUGAAAUAGUAGUGGAGGAAGAGAUUAUUAGCACUGGAAAACCUACAGAGGGAAAGGCUAAAAAGAGAUUUUCCUGGUUCCACAAUAUCAAAGAAUGCAAGCUGUGGAACUUCUUUCAUUUUAAAAAACAUGACAAACAAGUAAAGAAUGUGCACAAGUGGGAAGAAAUUGAUCAAGAGGUAUUGGAUGAUUACUGUCCUUAUUCUACUGAAGCCCCUAAAACAUUGCCAACAGAGUGGACAAAUAUUGAAGUUGGUAAUUGGUUAUGGAGCAUUGGAAUGGAGGAGUAUGUUGUAAAAUUUUAUUGUAAAGGAAUAAAUGGUGAAAAACUCCUUACACUGGACAAUCGCUCUCUAAAAGUAAGUUCAAGAAUUGACUUUAUUUUUUACAAUCCAUUAGAAAACAUAUAUAUAUAUAUAUGUGUAUAUAUAUAUAAUCACUAA